GACGAACGCUGGCGGCGUGCUUAACACAUGCAAGUCGAACGGUGAAGUGCCUUCCUUUUUGGUGGGCGUGGAUGAGUGGCGAACGGGUGAGUAACACGUUAGUAACCUGCCCCCUUCUUCUGGAUAACCGCAUGAAAGUGUGGCUAAUACGGGAUAUUCUGGGUCUGUCGCAUGAUGGGUCUGGGAAAGAUAUUGUUUCGGUGGGGGAUGGGCUCGCGGCCUAUCAGCUUGUUGGUGGGGUGAUGGCCUACCAAGGCGGUGACGGGUAGCCGGCCUGAGAGGGUGGACGGUCACGCUGGGACUGAGACACGGCCCAGACUCCUACGGGAGGCAGCAGUGGGGAAUAUUGCACAGUGGGCGCAAGCCUGAUGCAGCGACGCCGCGUGAGGGAUGGAGGCCUUCGGGUUGUGAACCUCUUUCGCCAGUGAAGCAGGCCUGCCUCGUUUGUGGGUGGGUUGACGGUAGCUGGAUAAGAAGCGCCGGCUAACUACGUG
rnacentral:rRNA from 1 species